GCCGGGCACAGUGACAUAUGGCUGUAAUCCCAGCGGCUUGGGAGGCUGAGGCAGGAGGAUUGCUGAGUUAAUAGUCAGCCUCAGCAAAAGUGAGGCACUAAGCAACUCAGCAAGACCCAGUCUCUA
rnacentral:sRNA from 1 species